GACGAACGCUGGCGGCGUGCUUAACACAUGCAAGUCGAGCGGAGCGGCGAACGGGUGAGUAACGGGUGAGUAACUGCCCCCCUCUCUGGGAUAACAGUUGGAAACGGCUGCUAAUACCGGAUAGUGGUGGAUGACUCGCGUCCUAUCAGCUUGUUGGUGGGGUAGUGGCAUAUCAAGGGGACGACGGGUCGCCGGCCUGCGAGGUGGACCGGCCACAAGAGGCUCAGAGAGGGCCCAAACUGGAACGGGGGGCAGCGGUGGGGAAUAUUGCACAAUGGGGGAAACCCUGAUGCAGCAGCGCCGCGUGCGGGAUGACGGUCUUGGGGUUGUAAACCGCUUUCAGCCAUGACGCGGUAGUGGCAGAAGAAGCACCGGCUAACUACGUGCCAGCAGCCGCGGUAAUUC
rnacentral:rRNA from 1 species